rnacentral:rRNA from 1 species
AGUGAACGCUGGCGGUAGGCCUAACACAUGCAAGUCGAACGGCAGCACAGUAAGAGCUUGCUCUUACGGGUGGCGAGUGGCGGACGGGUGAGGAAUACAUCGGGAUCUACUUUUUCGUGGGGGAUAACGUAGGGAAACUUACGCUAAUACCGCAUACGACCUACGGGUGAAAGCAGGGGAUCUUCGGACCUUGCGCGAUUGAAUGAGCCGAUGUCGGAUUAGCUAGUUGGCGGGGUAAAGGCCCACCAAGGCGACGAUCCGUAGCUGGUCUGAGAGGAUGAUCAGCCACACUGGAACUGAGACACGGUCCAGACUCCUACGGGAGGCAGCAGUGGGGAAUAUUGGACAAAGGGCGCAAGCCUGAUCCAGCCAUACCGCGUGGGUGAAGAAGGCCUUCGGGUUGUAAAGCCCUUUUGUUGGGAAAGAAAAGCAGCAGGUUAAUACCCCGCUGUUCUGACGGUACCCAAAGAAUAGGCACCGGCUAACUUCGUG